AUGAGGCCCAAGUGGGACACCCCUCUCAACCGGGCCUUGAACGAACUUAAGGGACUCCCGUUGGACCAGCGGCCGCAAUAUGGUCGUGUGCACGGCGCUGGAGACGGCGCCACGUGGAAGAUGUUUUACAACAACGGCCCGGAGGCCAAGAAGCAGAAAAAGAAGUUUAGUCAGGCAGACAUCAACGCAAAGGUGAAGCUUGCGGUCGAGAAAAAAGCAGCUGAGGACGCGAAAAAAGCAGCCGAGGACAAAUAUGAGUUGCUACAGCAGGCAGUCAAUGCAGCUGUAACUGCCUGCAGAAAUGAUUUUGCUACUAACUUGGUUCCAGUUAUCAUCAACUGGGCGAAGGAAAAUCCAGACAAGACGGUACAUGAUUUCCCGAUGCCCAGUUUCGUCGCGAGCAACUCCAUGAACAAUAACACCAUCGCACCAUCACUUGUUCAAGCAACCGGGCCUCCUCUCGCAGCCGCUCCCGCUCAUAGCAGCCCGUCCUCAGUCUCAGGCACGCUAGGUGGGCCUUCGUCUUUGGCUGAGCUCAACACCGUCACGGUAAUUACAUGUCGCACCAACAUAUAUAUAUAUAUAUAUAUAUAUAGAUAA
rnacentral:rRNA from 1 species